GGGGUUGCGACUCAGUGGUAGAGCUUUCUCCUAGAGCGUGCAAGGCCCUGGGUUCGAUCUUCAGCACCACUU
rnacentral:tRNA from 1 species